UAUGGUCGCAGUGCUAGGUUGGCCUUGUCGAAACCGUGUAGGAUUUUUAAAAAAAAUUACGAGAAUAUAUAUUAAUAAUAUAUAUUUUAAAUUGACAUUAUUUCCUAUCUCCGAGCUUGAGAUGUGCAUUGAAACGAUGGAUAUGACCAGCUCCAAACACAUUGACUCUCUUCGGCUAACUUUGAAGCCUCCAGCAAAGCUGCGUUGGACGCAGCUGCGCGUCACCGCCGAGGAGGACGAGGCCUUCGGAUCGUGUCGAGGCACCGCCGCCAAGCAGACCAGCGGGAAGUUCCAACGACGGGAACAGCGACGGGCGGCGAGACUCCUCGGUGUCCCUUACAGCGUGGACCGACGGGAGGACCGACGAGCCGCGGCCUGUGCGCGGCGGCUUCCUGCCGGAGCAAUGGCGCCGGAGAACACCACACAGUACUUGAUCAACGAGCAUGAACUAGACAACAUGGCGGCGAGUAGCAAUGACUCCCACAAACCAACCGAAUCGCUGGAGGGACUUUGAGGACAUGUUUGGCCCAUGUUGGUAACCCGGAUGACGGGGAAUGACGUGGCCUCGCACUGCUUCAAGGCGGAGGAACUUUUCCCUGUCGGAAAAGUGGCGCACUGGACGCCUCCCCGCCCAGUCAGGGAGCGCUCCCAAGCCGCCUUCCGCGCUGCCCCGACGAGUGGACCAAACGCACCUGAGCUGUGGUCUGGUCACUGGUUGCAAGUCAGGUAACACCGGGCAGGUAUUGUUGCACUGCUUGUUGCUUCCUUCAUGGUUCCAUGCAACCUCUGUCACUGUCUGAGAGUUUUCCAGGUCACCCCCGCCGGGACAAAAGGCUCUGCUGCGGGAGACCCAGGAGCUCUGUCUUCCAAGACUCGUGAAAGGUGACUUUUUUUUUUAAAUGACAUAAGGCACUUGUAGUCUCAGUUUAAAAAGACCCAAGUUGUGCACAUGUCAUGUGACUUUGAUCCAUUUUUGGAUCAUGUUAUAUAUUGUAAUUAAGCCAAAUUUGGCUUGGGUCGACGUGGAUCAUGUGAGAAGUUAUCGUGAAUAAAUGUCCAAAUAAAAGCGCUUGUGUACUUAC